rnacentral:rRNA from 1 species
UUCGGUGGUCAUAGCGGCAGGGCCACGCCCGGACCCAUUCCGAACCCGGAAGCUAAGCCUGCCAGCGCCGAUGGUACUGCACCCGAAGGGGUGUGGGAGAGUAGGACACCGCCGAACAACAACCCCACCGAACGGCCCGCUGGGCAGCCACCACGGCCCCCCAGCGGGCCGUUCGCAUGU